GAAAUGCGAUAAGUAAUGUGAAUUACAGAAUUCAGUGAAUCAUCGAAUCUUUGAACGCACAUUGCACCCGCCAGCACUCUGGCGGGCAUGCCUGUUCGAGCGUCAUUUCAACCCUCAGAACCCCUUGCGGGAUCUGGCGUUGGGGAUUGGCAUCCAGCCAGCCCCGAAAUCUAGCGGCGGUCCCUCCGCGACCUCCCCUGUGCAGUAGCGAUACCUCGCAGCGGGACAGCGGUCUGACCACGCCGUAAAACCCCCAACUUCUCAAGGUUGACCUCGAAUCAGGUAGGAAUACCCGCUGAACUUAAGC
rnacentral:misc_RNA from 1 species